GGCUCACCUGAAGCCCAGCCCUGGAGCCCAUAUAAAAGGUGUCCCUGCUGCUGGCACCUCAUCUGCUCAGCUUCCUCAGGGACAUGAUUGUGGUUGUCUGAGACCAGGGUUGGCUGAAAUCCCACCAAGAUGUCCUGUCAGCAGAACCAGCAGCAGUGCCAACCCCCUCCCAAAUGCCUGCAAAAGUGUCCCACCCCUAAAUGUCCCCCUAAAUGUCCACCCAAGUGCCCCCCAGUCUCUUCCGGCUGUGGCUCCAGCUCUGGGGGCGGAGGCUGCUGUAGCUCUGGGGGUGGUGGCUGCUGUCUGAGCCACCACAGGCAACGCAGGUCCCACCGCCACAGACACCAGAGCUCUGAAUGCUGUAGCAGUGGCAGCAGCCAACAGGCUGAAGGAUCUGACUGCUGCUCUGGGGGCUGCUGCUGACCUUAACCAAGAGGAACACUGAGGAACAGCGUUGCAAGCAUUAAAAGACAAAAGACCUACUGCAGCUUGGUGUUUUUGUCCCCUUUUCUCUCUUGUCUUCCCCACCUGGGAUUUGCUGAUGAUUUGCUGCUCAGAAGCCAUCAACUUUAUGCUUUGGGUUUGCGCUCUUUUUGGCCUCAUGUGAAUAUCAAUUUUACUCAGGUUGUUGAAAAAUAUCCUAAAGCAUGUGCUUUGCAACUGUAAAUUUACCUUCAAGUCCCAAUUUUAUUGGUGGCUUUUAUUCCAUUUUUCUUCUUUUUUUUACCUAAAUCCUUGUCCUCCCUGGAUAGAAAGACAGACUUACCGCUUUUACUAGACUAGAAAAAAACCAACCAAUUAAACUUUAAUGAAUUGAUAUUUAAUGUAUGUUUAUCUUCAAGAAAAUCUAAACUUCUGCAGUAUUCAUGUGAAGUCAGUAAAUUAGGAUGGACUAGAAUUCCCAGAGGAAUCUAACUUAAAAAAAGAUUAGGAGGGAGUAGGGCAAAUGAGGAGAUGUGAGUCAAAGAGUACAAACUUCUGGUUAGAAGAUGAUAAAUUCUGGGGAUCUGAUGUACCAUAUAGUGAUUAUAGAUAACAGUACUUACUGUACUCUACACUUGAAAGUUGACAAGAGUAGAUCUUAAAUGUUCUUGGCACAAAAAAAGAGAUGGCAAUUAUGGACGUUAAAUUUAUACAACGUUACAUGUCAAUUAUAUCUCAAUAAAGCUGGAAAAAACAUUGGUGAUGAAAAAUAGCCAUGCUACUCAAGUGAUUUGGACAGAAGAUCCUAUUAAGUAAAAAAUGUAAUUGUUGCUUCAUGCAUACCUCCUAAGGACAAUCUCUCUCCAUCUCUCUCUGUCUCUCUCUCUCUCCUACUUGCUCACUGUUUUUAAGAGAAUUGAGAUAACAGAAUAGUCUCAGCUCCAGUUGGGAACUGAUGGAGAAAGCUUGCUGAUCAUCUUUGAAAGUGCUCUCUUUAUGCUGUGUUGUGAACAUACAGAAGUUUGGUUAAAUAAAGUAUAAUUGAAACCCA